UGUUUUUAAUGUCAGAUUGGCUGCCUUUUGUUUUUUCAAGAAACCGGCUACCCAGGAUUUAUGAUCAUCAGAAGUGCUGGAGGAACUCAGCAAGACAAACAGCAUCCAUGGAGAGGGAUAAACAGUCGACAUUUAAGACUCGUUUCCUUCAUCAAUUAUCUAAUUCAGUAAUCGGUAAAGAGAUUGGGGAGAGGAGGGAAUGCAGACUCCUCGGCCUUAACGGCAUGUGACAAAUGACAAGCAAUUAUUCAGAUUAGUCACUUGUACAGUCAAAAAAAAUCUAUUUUCUACAAUCACAAGAAUACUAGCUUAGUUUGAUAAAGUUAUCAGAUGUUAAACUGAAAUAAUAUGUAUUUUUUGUCCUUGUCAUCAUUCCACUCAGGGGUCCUUUUUUUUAAAAAAAAGUCAGCAUUUUUCACAAAAGAUGCCCGCCUAGAAUUUAAUGCAAAGUUCCAGAGGCCUAAGUAGAGCCCUGUUAAUGCCCAGUUCAUAUUGAGAAAUAACCAAAAAAUGUUAAAUACUUAAUAUCAAUACAUUUGAGGAUAAACACAUACUUUAGAAACUGAAGCCCAUCACAAACCAAAUCUCAAUGGAAAAUAUCCACUAAAAGGCAUUAUCAAACAAAAGCAAGACUACAGAAAUGAUCAAUUUUGGAGCAAGUCGGUCAGUUGAAGCAAAGAAGUCUUGAAUCCUCGAGUUCCUUCAGUUUUAUUAUUUUUUUACUCAUUUUCCCUUCUAUUUGGUCUUGACCACCUACAACCUCUUGGAAAAACUGCAAGUAGUCAUAGCAUUUCUACAGCAUAGAAACAGGCCCUUCAACUCAUUUAGUCCAUGUCACACUAUCAUUCUGCUUAGUCCCAUUGACCUGCAUCUGGACCAUAGCCCUCCAUACCCCUCACUCCUCUGUACUUAUUCAAACCUCUUAAAUGUUGAAAUCAACUCCACAUCUGCUGGCAGCUGAGUGAAAACACUCACCCUCGUGUUUCACCUUUCCCUUAACCAUUAAUCAUUAGUUUUAGUCUCACUCAACCUCAGUGGAAAUAGCCUGCUUGCAUAUACAAGAUCAACACCCCUCAAUUUUGUAUACCUCUAUCAAAUCUCCCUUCAUUCUCCUUUGCUCCAAUGAACAUCCUUUCCUAUAACUGAGGUUCUCAUGUCCUGGCAACAUCAUUGUAAAUCUUCUCUGUACUCUUUCAAUCUUAUUAUUCUUUCCUGUAGGUAGGUGACCAGAAUGCAUACAAUGCUCCAAAUUAAGCUUCAUCAGCAUCUUAAGCAUAACAUCUUAAUUCAUGUACUCAGUACUUCAAUUUUUGAAGGCCAGUGUGCCAAAAACUCUUAUGACCCCUAUUUACCUGUGAUGUUACUUUCAAGGAAUAAAACCUGUUUCUACUAGGCUGCUCAGUAUCCUACUGUCAACUGGGUAAAUGUUAUGCCAGUUUGUCCUCCCAAAAUGCAAAUCCUCAUACUUGUAUGCAUCAAAUUCCAUCUCUGCUGUUUAACAGCCUAUUUUCCCAGCUGGUCCAGAUAUUACUGAAAGCUUUGUCUUCCUCGCUGUCUACUAUGCAUCCAAUCUUGAUGUCAUCUGAUCCAGAUUGUUGGUAGAUGACAAACAACAGGCCCUGCACUAAUCCCUGAAGCACACCUCUAAUAACAGGCCUGCAGUCAGAGGGGUAAGCAUUUACAACCACUCUAGCUUCUCCAAGCCCAUAUCAAAUCCAAUUUAACAUCCUGAAUGCCAAGCAAUUGAACCUCCCAUACAGGAUAUUGUUAAAGUCAAUGCAGACAACAGCCACUGCCUUUCCUUCAUCAGCUUUCCGGGUAACCUCUUCAAAAGCAACUAAGAUUAGACAUGAACUACCAUUAACAGAGCCAUACUGACUAUCCCUAAUCAGUCCAUGUCUAACCAAAUUCUUAAAUCACCAGUCCUUUAAAAUGCCUUCCAAUAACUCACCCACAACUGAGCUCAGGCACAUUGGCCUAUAAUUUCCCCAAUUUAUUAAAAGGCUUUCUUAAACAGCAGAACGUUAGCUAUCCACUAGUCCUCUGGCACCUCAACUGCGGUUCAUUGGCAAAACGAAUUGCUUUUCUAGAGAAUCGGCAUGGGUACAUUGGCCUCAAAAGUUUUAACUCAAAAAUGUAGUGGUUCGGAGUUUAUAAACCAAUUCACUUUUAACUACUCCACAUUUCCCCAGCACAAGUGCUUAUUAAUCUGUACCAGUUGGAUUUUUCAUUUAUUCAUUUUUCACUUGUGGCAAGUUAUUGCAUAUGUAAUUCCCCCCACAAUGGCUCAGGAGGGUUGGUGUUAGGAAAAAUGGGAAGAGACAGAGGCAUCUGAAAUACAUCUUUUAUACAAGUCUAAAAAGCACACUCAAGAUAGUGCAAGGUUAGAGGAAAACGGUGGUUUAUAAUGAAUUUUGCUAUAUUUUUUAUUUGUCAUUACCAAGUUGUUCGGUGACACAUUAAAGCUAAGUAACUAGUAAUCCAAUACACUGAGUGAGACAAUUGUUUUAUAAAAAGCCCUUCUACAUUUACAACCUUUUAAUCAACGUACAAGAAAUAAAAACACUGAGAUUAAGUAAAACACAGCCUCCAUAUUAUACAACUUUUUAUUCAUGAAAACAGUCAUUGUACAUGGUACAAACCAUACUUAAGGGAAUAAAUAAAAAAGAAAACACUGCUGUACAACACAUUGCAUUUCAAUUGGAAACUUAAGUUUUUCAUGAUAGCUGUGAUCUCUAAAUAUAAUAGGUUAAAAUAUGGACAAUUAGAUAAAUUUACGUUGAUAUCUGGACAGGAUCGCAUAGUUUUCUGCAGUUAAUAGUGCAGCAGUACAAGCUGCUGUCAAUUUAUUAAUAAAUAAGCGCCAGCACUUCUACAAAAAAGAAUUUGGAAUGUGGUGCUUCAAUUUCUUAAAAGAUUGCAAGGACACAAAUUCAAAAGUCGAUGUUUUUCUAGUUUAUAAAGUUAAGCUCUCAUUCUGGUCAUAGCAAUGUCGCAGUCCAACAAUAUAUCUGUUUAAAGAAUUAAUAGAUCAAAAUUGUAAUAGGAAAAGCCUUCCUUACAUGGAGGAAAAGUUUUAAAGGUGUAACAGAAGCUCCAUUAUUUACUCAGUAUAAAAGGAAAACUGGCACCAUCCAGCUUUUAAAAUUACAAGAUUUUCUUUCUAUAGCUAUGAUAGUGCCUUCACAACAGAAUGGAUAUCAUUUCAUAUACCUUUUGCCAGAAGCUUUCUUGAACAUACAAGUUUACAAGUUUCAAAUGGAAAAACAGACAGUACCAAAAUUACAUUGUACAGAAAUUCUAUUAGCAAAAGCCAAAUUUAAUUAUGGAAAGGCAAGAUUA